ACGUUACUAGGUUGGUUUUAUUUUCUUAUUUAUUUAUUUUAUUUUUUUCCCCUCCAGAUUUUACAAUUUUUUUUAUAGAGGGAUGCUUUUAUAUGGGUUUGCCUUAUUGCUUGUGGUUGGAGUGAAGGGCUUGGAGAUAUAUGCAUUUCCCUANNNNNCAUUCUGGAGGAUUUGGAAGAGUGAAAUAUUCUCAUGUAUAGAAAGAAUAUUUAUCAGUGCCAUUUU
rnacentral:misc_RNA from 1 species